GACGCGUAUCGUGCUGAAUUUUUCGCUCGGUUCGACGCCAAAUAUAAUCGACCGACGAUUACCGUUUUCGGUAUAAGACCCGAUGAAACGUGAGAAAUAUAAUGCCGUGUUGCAUUAGCAUCAUUGUGCGUACGUCUACACGACAUUUGGGCUCGGCGGACGUAAAGCCGUAAAUUUUCCGGAACGAAAACGAAACGAAACGGGGGAGG